CCCGAACUCAUAAACCCCAACUCAAUCUUUUCGACCCCCAUUCGAAAGCAGAGCUCCCUGUACCCCAAAAAAAAAUAGCAGAGCUCGCUAGCGGCGGAGGACGACGACGGCGUCGUCUGCGGCGGCGGCGGCGGUGUAGGUAACGACGAGGGCAAAAACAUUACCACAAAUUGAAAAAAUGCCGCGAAAGCCGAAAAGGCAGUGCCAAUUAACAAAACCUCAUCCUUUCACGUUCUCCCCAUUUGCUCGUGCAGUUGCUCGAGUAGCCAAUGCUUAUAAGGUCAAGAGCCAGAUCCAGAACUCCAAGUUUCAUAGAAAAUCUUCCCCCAACUCUUCAGGUGACAAACUUGGAUAUCACUCUCUCGCAGAUAAGAGUGAACCGUCUGAAUCUUCUAAUGAAGAAGACUUUGAAGGAAUUGUUCAGGCAGAUUUUGCUUUCUUCGAUCCAAAACCUGAUGACUUCCAUGGAGUGAAGGUCCUGCUGCAGACAUAUCUUGAUGAUAAGCAAUGGGAUCUAAGUGGUUUUGUGGACCUAAUAUUGGGGCAAACCACGGUAGGGACAAUUGUUAAAAUCGAGGAAGAUGAAGAUGAUACACCUUACUCUGUUGUUACUGCUCUUAACUUGAGAAGAUAUAAGGAUCAUAUAUGCAUUAAGGAACUCAAAGAGUUCUUGCUUCAAGUAUGCAAGGAGAAGGAUUUACUAGACAACUUGAAAUUAGUUUUUGGAGAGCAAGCGCAAACUGUAGGGCUCUUGGUCUCUCAGCGUGUUGUUAAUCUUCCUCCCCAGCUUUUGCCACCUCUUUAUGACGCACUCUUUGAUGAAGUCUCAUGGGCUACAGAAGAUGAGCCGACAGAGGAGCUCAGGAAGUCAUUUUGCUUUAAGCAUUAUCUAUUGGUCACUAGAAUCUAUGAGCAUAAGAAUGCUGGACAGAAAGAAGCAGCAAAUAAUAGCAGUGAGGAGGCUAUAGUAUAUGUUAAGUCGGAAGAUGAAAUUUUUUAUCAGCUCAGUUCAUGGUCCUUUAGGUUCCCAUUGCGCACUCAGCAGCUUGCAUCUCAUGAGGAAUGCAUCAUCAUCAGCAAUCCAUCAACGGAAGUUGUCGUUCUCACCAUCGGCAGAAAGCGAGAUCAUCUUCACUGGCAGCAUGGACCAUAUUAAACCUAGUCAUUGUUGACAACUGCAGCCAGCCCGUACAUCAAUCAACGUUGUCAUCGACAAAAAGCUUGGCCUUGUGUCUUAGGUCUUCAUCGUUUCUCGCUGGAGCAUGCUCGACCGUCUUGCCUUAGCCUCAUCAAUGAGAGCACAAACUGUUGUGCAAAACUUUUGGGGAAGAUGACCAAUAGAGUUAAUAGAACCCUUAGACUUGACCCAAUCCAGUAGCCCUUAACUUAAGCUCAAUUCUUUAACCUCUAGGCCAUAACCCAAUUACUCUUAUACCCAGCCCAUUAUCCUCACCAGGCACAUAAACAUGUAAAUAAGCCCAAACUGAACCCAGCUCACUCCUUUUCCCUAACCCAUAAAUUAGGCCAUUAACAAGCCCAACCCUUUAAUUCUAUUUCCAUUGUCCAAGCCCAUUAAACCCAACAAUGUCAACCCAGCCCAAGCACUUCCUACCCAAGUUCAACCAAAUUUUUACAACCCAAGUGUUAGCUACCGGCUUCUUAGCCAACCCAAUUCCAGCACUUAUUUAACCCACAACCGUUAGACCAGCCCACAACAGCUCAUUAAACCUCAUACCAACAAUACUUGAUCCAUAUUGGAUGAAGAUUAGGAAACCAAAUCAAACCAAAUCUUAAGUCCCAUCAAAUGUGGUCGGCUAUAUAAAUCAUUUUUCUCCAGUCGACUCUAUUGAAGGCCAUUUCGUUAGUCAAAUUAUUCAUAUCUCUAUUUACUACACUAGUCUACGUCAAUUUAGGUCCAUCCUUUUCCCUAACACUACCAUUUACCGUCACUGUAUCGCAUCUGUUCACUAUUGCCUAUGUUGGUCUCCGGUGUAUAUAACCAAACAUCUCAAUCUAUUCUUACUCAAUUUAUCCUCUAUCAAUAUUACUCCUACCCAUUUUCGAAUAUACUCAUUCCUAUUGUAUGAAGAUUAGGAAAUUAAAACAAAAAUAAAUGUAGUAAAAAACAAAAAAAUGACAACCAAAGAAAUUAAGUAAAUCCUGAAGCCUCAAUACUCAAUAUCUCAAUUUCAUAAGCCAAGCUGAAUAACCCUAAUAAAUAACUACGUAUAGGAUUCUGAAAAACCCUAAUUAAGAGUUUCCAAAAUGAAAACUACCUUAAAUACUAAAUAAAACAGUAAAAUCUGUUAAAUUAUAAAUAUGAAAAUGACAAUAAGAUAAUUUCCUAACCUUCAAUCAAUUCCUUUUGUGUCCGUAUCAUUUCUCCUUAGAUGAAAAAAAAGAAAAAAAAAACUACUCUCAUCUGUUGAGUUACAAGAGUUGAAGACAUCCAAGGAAUGAAACUCAUCAUGAGAACAAUACUUCGACCCUUAAUGCCAUCCACUAUAAGGUAUCCACCACAGGGAUGACAAGAAGUAAUUAUGGAAGCUGGCUGUAGAAAGCAUCAACUCCUGGAGAGUCCUCAAACAAAACAUGAGGAUGUAAGGUGCUGUGAUAAAGUAGUACCUUAUUCUCCAUAUGAAAUACCAAAUUAACAAAAUUAAUGGACUGAGGAGGGAAAUACCAAACUAACUGAAUUAGAGGUGUCAAGUCAUGCUAUUAUCGAGUAGGGGUGGCUAGGGAGAGAUUGAGGUCUUGAGUAGAACUCAACUCUAAAAGAUAGCUUCUGAAGUGAGGUUGUCCUCAUGCUGAUACAAUGUACAUCCCCUUUGUACCUACUACCUAGACAAUGUGGAACUCUUCAUAGAGAUACCUUGGCUUGACCUAGUGGUAUUCUUUGGGGUGGAGGGGGCACUUUGCGUGUGCUUCUUUCAAGUCUCAGGUUUAACUCUUACUAGGCGCUAUCAACUCCUUAGGGCCACGCCCGCAGGCUCUGCCCUAGAUUUGGCGGAUCCACGUGGAGGGGAUACUUUGCGUGGGUCUCGGGAUUAGUCGAGGUGCGCGUAAACUAAUUUGGACACUCAGUCAUAAAAAUAUAUAUAUAUAGAGUUUGUAAACUGCACUUUUAAAAUUAUUCUUCUAAGAAUUCUGGACAGCCCAUUGCAACUCACUCCUUCAUUGUUGGUCUUCAACGAUUCCUGUCCACAGACGAAGGGAAAAUCAUUCCUGUUCAUAAUGGCUUCCUGAAAAGAAGCAGAAUAUUGGCACUCAAAACAAGUUCUGCUGAGAUUUGUCUUCUUGGUUGCAAAAUAGACAAGUUGUAUCAAUCCCCAUGUGCAAUUCCUUAAAUCAAUUCUUUGUGGCCAGUCUUUCAUGGCGCAGCAACCAUAAAAUAAAGGCACACUUCAAAAUAUUCUGUGGGACAUGUUAAAGCAUUCUGUUUCUUCCUUAUUUACUCAUGGUCAUGGCUGGGGGCUGGGGUGUUACCCUAGUAGCUUGCAUAUUGUGUCUCUAAUUCGAUGUGUUAUCAUUCAAACUGGGAUGUAAUUUUCUAUUAUUUUUCCUUUGUUCUUUUAUAUUUCUUUUUAACAUUCUUUUUUCUUUGUGGUGGGUGGAGGGUUGAGCGUUUUGGGCUAUAUAUAUGCUAGGUGUUUCAAAUGGUGCUCUUCGUAGUCUGUAUCUACCCUCCAGCUAAGGAAUUACCGGUUAAUGGGUUUAGUCAUGGCUUUAGAAGCAGAAAAAGUUUUGACAUUUCGACAACAGUUGCAUUCUUUGAUAAAUGAAUCAUGAUGCCAUCAAAAGGUCUAAGAAUUUCAAUUUUCGAUAUACACUUCACUGGUAUUGCUAGCAUGGCAGAGGUGGAUUCAUCUGAUUCAGAACCUGCCUGAUCUUUUUGCGGGUAUUUCAGUAAUGAUCAUGGAGUAGGCCUGUAAUUUGUAGUGGAUAAUGCAUAUUUAGCUAUAUGGGCUUGAGAAUUAUUUUGUCAAUUAGGCUGGAUGGCAGAAAUUUUAUUUUCCUCUUCUUUCUUUUAUUCAAUUCCAUCUUGGAUUGUUUAAACUAUCAGAUUUAUUUUCCUCAUUUUGUUUUAAUGUUAUUCAAUUAUGAGGUAGAGAUAUUAAUAUUUGGGGCCAAGUUGCAUGUCUAUCUGGUUGAACUAAUGUGACAUGGCAGUGUGGUGUAGUUUAUCUGAGUUGUUUAUAGCUUAUUUUA